rnacentral:rRNA from 1 species
GAUGAACGCUGGCGGCGUGCCUAAUACAUGCAAGUCGAGCGAACAGAUGAGGAGCUUGCUCCUCUGACGUUAGCGGCGGACGGGUGAGUAACACGUGGAUAACCUACCUAUAAGACUGGGAUAACUACGGGAAACCGGAGCUAAUACCGGAUAAUAUAUUGAACCGCAUGGUUCAAUAGUGAAAGACGGUUUUGCUGUCACUUAUAGAUGGAUCCGCGCCGCAUUAGCUAGUUGGUAAGGUAACGGCUUACCAAGGCAACGAUGCGUAGCCGACCUGAGAGGGGGAUCGGCCACACUGGAACUGAGACACGGUCCAGACUCCUACGGGAGGCAGCAGUAGGGAAUCUUCCGCAAUGGGCGAAAGCCUGACGGAGCAACGCCGCGUGAGUGAUGAAGGUCUUCGGAUCGUAAAACUCUGUUAUUAGGGAAGAACAAAUGUGUAAGUAACUAUGCACGUCUUGACGGUACCUAAUCAGAAAGCCACGGCUAACUACGUG